rnacentral:rRNA from 1 species
UACGUAGGGGGCGAGCGUUGUCCGGAAUCAUUGGGCGUAAAGGGCUCGCAGGCGGCCGGCUGCGUCUCGCGUGAAGGCCCCGGGCUCAACUCGGGGUGGUCGCGGGAUACGGGUCGGCUGGAGGUAGGUAGGGGGACGCGGAAUUCCCGGUGUAGUGGUGGAAUGCGUAGAGAUCGGGAGGAACACCGGCGGCGAAGGCGGCGUCCUGGACCUGGCCUGACGCUCAGGAGCGAAAGCGUGGGGAGCGAUCCGG